rnacentral:rRNA from 1 species
GAUGAACGCUAGCGGCAGGCUUAAUACAUGCAAGUCGAGGGGUAACAUGACUACUUGUAGUUGAUGACGACCGGCGCACGGGUGCGUAACGCGUAUGCAACCUACCUAUAACAGAGGGAUAGCCUAGAGAAAUUUGGAUUAAUACCUCAUAGUAUGUUAAAGUGGCAUCACUUAGACAUUAAAGAUUUAUUGGUUAUAGAUGGGCAUGCGUGUGAUUAGCUAGUUGGUAAGGUAAAGGCUUACCAAGGCGACGAUCACUAGGGGUUCUGAGAGGAAGAUCCCCCACACUGGCACUGAGAUACGGGCCAGACUCCUACGGGAGGCAGCAGUAGGGAAUAUUGGUCAAUGGGCGAGAUGCCUGAACCAGCCAUGCCGCGUGCAGGAAGACGGCUUUCUGAGUUGUAAACUGCUUUUAUAUGCGAGGAAAGCUCUUACGAGUAAGAGAAGUGACGUUAGCAUACGAAUAAGGACCGGCUAACUCCG